rnacentral:RNase_P_RNA from 1 species
CGGAGCGGGAGGGCGGCCAACGGUUCCCGCGGCUUCGCCGCGGUCCGAACCGAGGAAGGUCCCCGCUCACCGAGGACCGGGACCGGCGACAAGGCCGGGUGGGGGAGACCUCGCGAGCCGGAGCAGAAACGACACCGCCACCGUCACGGGAUGACGGGGGAAAGCCCCCGACGACGACGGUGGAACGGAUGAAACGUGCCGGGCUCCCCGGAGCAAGUCCGAACCGCCCCGUCGAGGUGUCCGCGGCGAGGGGCAAGUGGGACGCACAGACGAAUGCCGCCGUCCGAUCCUCGCGAUCGGGCAACAGAACGGGGACUACUCCCCGCACCG